UAGGGAAUAUUGCACAAUGGAGGAAACUCUGAUGCAGCCAUGCCGCGUGUGUGAAGAAGGCCUUCGGGUUGUAAAGCACUUUCGGAGGGGAGGAACAAAUGACGUUACCCUCAGAAGAAGCACCGGCUAACUCCGUGCCAGCAGCCGCGGUAAUACGGAGGGUGCAAGCGUUAAUCGGAAUAACUGGGCGUAAAGGGCAUGCAGGCGGUUUAUCAAGUAGGAUGUGAAAGCCCCGGGCUCAACCUGGGAAUUGCAUUCUAAACUGAUAGACUAGAGUAUUGCGAGGGGGAGACGGAAUUCCUAGUGUAGCGGUGAAAUGCGUAGAUAUUAGGAGGAACACCG
rnacentral:rRNA from 1 species